GACGAACGCUGGCGGCGUGCUUAACACAUGCAAGUCGAACGGGCCUGUCUUCUUUUUUGGGGGGUGGGUUGAGUGGCGAACGGGUGAGUAUCACGUGAGUAACCUGCCCUUCGGUCCUGGAUAACCGCUUGAAAGGGCGGCUAAUACGGGGUGGUCCGGUUGGUCCGCAUGGGCUGGUCGGGAUAGAUUCACUGUUUUUGGUGUUUCGGCGGGGGCUGGGCUCGCGGCCUAUCAGCUUGUUGGUGGGGUGAUGGCCUACCAAGGCGGUGACGGGUAGCCGGCCUGAGAGGGUGGGCGGGCACACUGGGACUGGGAUCCGGCCCAGACUGCUGCGGGAGGCAGCAGUGGGGGGUAUUGCACAAGGGGCGGAAGCCUGAUGCAGCGACGUCGCGUGAGGGAUGGAGGCCUUCGGGUUGUGAACCUCUGUUUCCGGUGGUGAAGGCCCUGUCCGUGUGGUGGGGUUGACGGUAGCCGGGGAUGAAGCGCCGGCUAACUACGUG
rnacentral:rRNA from 1 species